AGAACAAUGGCAUAGUUGGUUGCGGUAUAGCCUCUCUGACACACAGAAGGUUUCCAGUUCGAACCUGGGUUGUUUCU